CGACGUUUGUCGGAUACCGUUUUUGACAGCGUUCGAAACCCGCGAUGCCCGAAACGCGUUCACCUCAUCCGUGUUCGUAUGGCUCGCCCGUCUUCGGGACGCCAACGGUCGUGACCGUCAACUACGAACGCUUCGUUUCCAGGCAUAGGCUUGCCCAGAGUUUUAAGUCGGGUGUACCGGACCUGAUUUUAUUCUCAAUAUUUUCUUUUCAUCAAAUCUCCUUGUCGUGGAUUUUUUUAUUCGUCCGCUCGACCGUUCCAAUUCGAAUACAACUAACGAAACACUGUCCACCCAUAAUACGUGCUCAGUUCCAAUAAUUUCAGCAUCAUAAGGCUUUUUUUCUGUCCAAACGAUAUGUUAUUAUUAAUUGUGAAUUAAUUUAUGUAUUAAUUGUUGACAACAUCAGCCAUUCAAAAACGGGUUCAUACGAAGAGCGAAUCACAGACUACAACUAAGGUAUUUUGAAAUUGGCGAGAUCAGACAUUCGACGGCAACGCUUUACUAUGGCAUCACCAUAUUUACUGUCAAUUUUGGAGCAAAAUAAAAAUGAUUCACGUCAAAGGAAUACACCCACAAAAACAGUAAUUUAUACGUCUAAUGAAUUUUUUUCUCCUAAAAUAACAACAAAGCCAUCUUCAACAUCUGAUUCAAAUAUGAUUGAAGUAAAUAAACCAG